CCCUUAGAUGUUCUGGGCCGCACGCGCGCUACACUGAACAGUUCAACAAGUCUUAACCUUGGCCGAUAGGUCUGGGUAAUCUUUGAACGCUGUUCGUGAUUGGGAUAGACCUUUGCAAUUAUGGGUCUUCAACGAGGAAUUCCUAGUAAACGCAAGUCAUCAGCUUGCAUUGAUUACGUCCCUGCCCUUUGUACACACCGCCCGUCGCACCUACCGAUUGGAUGGUCCGGUGAAGCCUCGGGAUUGUGGUUCUUGCCGCUUUAUUGUGGCGUGACCGCGAGAACUUGUCUAAACCUUAUCAUCUAGAGGAAGGUGAAGUCGUAACA
rnacentral:rRNA from 1 species